AACGUAGGACACAAGCGUUAUCCGGAAUUACUGGGCGUAAAGGGCGUGCAGGCGGUUGGGUAAGGUAGGCGUGAAAGACUUCGGCUAAACCGGGGGAGGUCGUCUGAUACUGCUCAACUUGAGUAUGGUAGAGGCGUGUAGAAUUCCGGGUGUAGUGGUGAAAUGCGUAGAGAUCCGGAGGAAUACCAGUGGCGAAGGCGGCACGCUGGGCCAUUACUGACGCUAAGACGCGAAAGCAUGGGUAGCGAACGGG
rnacentral:rRNA from 1 species